rnacentral:rRNA from 1 species
GGGAGACUGUGAAGCGGGCACGCUAGUGUUCGUGGAGUCAUUGUUGAAAUACCACUCUGGUCACUUUGGAUGUCUAACGUAGGACCCUGAUCGGGUUCAUGGACAGUGCCUGAUGGGUAGUUUAACUGGGGCGGUUGCCUCCCAAAGAGUAACGGAGGCGCCCAAAGGUUCCCUCAACCUGGUUGGCAAUCAGGUGGCGAGUGUAAGUGCACAAGGGAGCUUGACUGUGAGACUGACAGGUCGAGCAGGGACGAAAGUCGGGACUAGUGAUCCGGCAGUGGCUUGUGGAAGCGCUGUCGCUCAACGGAUAAAAGGUACCUCGGGGAUAACAGGCUGAUCUUGCCCAAGAGUCCAUAUCGACGGCAUGGUUUGGCACCUCGAUGUCGGCUCGUCGCAUCCUGGGGCUGGAGUAGGUCCCAAGGGUUGGGCUGUUCGCCCAUUAAAGCGGUACGCGAGCUGGGUUUAGAACGUCGUGAGACAGUUCGGUCCCUAUCCGCUGCGCGCGUUGGAAAUUUGAGAAGAUCUAUCCCUAGUACGAGAGGACCGGGAUGGACGAACCUCUGGUGUGUCAGUUGUUCUGCCAAGGGCACCGCUGAUUAGCUACGUUCGGACCGGAUAACCGCUGAAAGCAUCUAAGCGGGAAGCCGUCUUCGAGAUGAGAUUUCCAUGCACCUUGAGUGUGAGAGGCUCCCAGCAGACUACUGGGUUGAUAGGCCGGAUGUGGAAGCGGGGACUAACGACCCGUGGAGCUGACCGGUACUAAUAAGCCGAAGACUUGACAACACAAC